GAAACUUGUUUCUUGGGUGACGAGCGGCGGACGGGUGAGUAACGCGUAGGAAUCUACCUAGUAGAGGGGGACAACAUGUGGAAACGCAUGCUAAUACCGCAUACGCCCUAAGGGGGAAAGGAGGGGACUUUUCGGAGCCUUCCGCUUUUAGAUGAGCCUGCGUGAGAUUAGCUAGUUGGUAGGGUAAAGGCCUACCAAGGCGACGAUCUCUAACUGGUCUGAGAGGAUGACCAGUCACACUGGGACUGAGACACGGCCCAGACUCCUACGGGAGGCAGCAGUGGGGAAUAUUGGACAAUGGGCGCAAGCCUGAUCCAGCCAUGCCGCGUGUGUGAAGAAGGCCUUAGGGUUGUAAAGCACUUUCAGGGGUGAGGAAGGGUGAUUGGUUAAUACCCAGUUAUCUUGACGUUAGCCCCAGAAGAAGCACCGGCUAACUCUGUGCCAGCAGCCGCGGUAAUACAGAGGGUGCAAGCGUUAAUCGGAAUUACUGGGCGUAAAGCGCGCGUAGGUGGUUUGUUAAGUCGGAUGUGAAAUCCCAGGGCUCAACCUUGGAAUGGCACCCGAUACUGGCAGGCUAGAGUAUGGUAGAGGGGUGUGGAAUUUCCUGUGUAGCGGUGAAAUGCGUAGAUAUAGGAAGGAACAUCAGUGGCGAAGGCGACACCCUGGACUAAUACUGACACUGAGGUGCGAAAGCGUGGGG
rnacentral:rRNA from 1 species